ACUAUGGGGAGCAGCAGUGAGGAAUAUUGGUCAAUGGGCGCGAGCCUGAACCAGCCAAGUAGCGUGAAGGAUGACUGCCCUACGGGUUGUAAACUUCUUUUAUAAAGGAAUCAAGUGAGGCACGUGUGCCUUUUUGUAUGUACUUUAUGAAUAAGGAUCGGCUAAAUCCGUGCCAGCAGCCGUGGUUAUACGGGGGAUCCGAGAUUUAUACGGAUUUAUUGGGUUUAAAGGGAGCGUAGAUGGGUUGGUAAGUCAGUUGUGAACGUUUGCGGCUCAACCGUAAAAUUGCAAUUGAUACUGGCAGCCUUGAGUACAGUUGAGGUAGGCGGAAUUCGUGGUGUAGCGGUGAAAUGCUUAGAUAUCACGAAGAACUCCGAUUGCGAAGGCAGCUUACUAAACUGCCACUGACAUUGAUGCUCGAAAGUGUGGGUAUCAAACAGGAUUAGAUACCCCGGUAGUC
rnacentral:rRNA from 1 species